UCGAACGGUGAAGCCCUUUCGGUGGGCUGGAUCAGUGGCGAACGGGUGAGUAACACGUGAGCAACCUGCCCCCUACUUCGGGAUAAGCCUUGGAAACGGGGUCUAAUACCGGAUAUGAGCRYCUGCCGCAUGGUGGGUGUUGGAAAGUUUUUCGGUGGGGGAUGGGCUCGCGGCCUAUCAGCUUGUUGGUGGGGUAAUGGCCUACCAAGGCGUCGACGGGUAGCCGGCCUGAGAGGGCGACCGGCCACACUGGGACUGAGACACGGCCCAGACUCCUACGGGAGGCAGCAGUGGGGAAUAUUGCACAAUGGGCGAAAGCCUGAUGCAGCGACGCCACGUGAGGGAUGACGGCCUUCGGGUUGUAAACCUCUUUCAGCAGGGAAGAAGCGUAAGUGACGGUACCUGCAGAAGAAGCGCCGGCUAACUACGUGCCAGCAGCCGCGGUAAUACGUAGGGCGCAAGCGUUGUCCGGAAUUAUUGGGCGUAAAGAGCUCGUAGGCGGUCUGUCGCGUCUGGUGUGAAAUCCCAUGGCUCAACUGUGGGCUUGCAUCGGGUACGGGCAGACUAGAGUGCUGUAGGGGAGACUGGAAUUCCUGGUGUAGCGGUGGAAUGCGCAGAUAUCAGGAGGAACACCGAUGGCGAAGGCAGGUCUCUGGGCAGUUACUGACGCUGAGGAGCGAAAGCAUGGGGAGCGAACAGGAUUAGAUACCCUGGUAGUCCAUGCCGUAAACGUUGGGCACUAGGUGUGGGGCCAGUUCCACUGGUUCUGUGCCGCAGCUAACGCAUUAAGUGCCCCGCCUGGGGAGUACGGCCGCAAGGCUAAAACUCAAAGGAAUUGACGGGGGCCCGCACAAGCGGCGGAGCAUGCGGAUUAAUUCGAUGCAACGCGAAGAACCUUACCAAGGCUUGACAUGUACGAGAAAGCCCCAGAGAUGGGGUUCUCUUUGGACACUCGUACACAGGUGGUGCAUGGUUGUCGUCAGCUCGUGUCGUGAGAUGUUGGGUUAAGUCCCGCAACGAGCGCAACCCUUAUCCUAUGUUGCCAGCGGGUUAUGCCGGGGACUCAUGGGAGACUGCCGGGGUCAACUCGGAGGAAGGUGGGGAUGACGUCAAAUCAUCAUGCCCCUUAUGUCUUGGGCUUCACGCAUGCUACAAUGGCCGGUACAGAGGGCUGCGAUACCGUGAGGUGGAGCGAAUCCCAAAAAGCCGGUCUCAGUUCGGAUCGGGGUCUGCAACUCGACCCCGUGAAGUCGGAGUCGCUAGUAAUCGCAGAUCAGCAACGCUGCGGUGAAUACGUUCCCGGGCCUUGUACACACCGCCCGUCAAGUCACGAAAGUUGGUAACACCCGAAGCUCACGGCCCAACCCCGUAAGGGAGGGAGU
rnacentral:rRNA from 1 species